UUGCAGCUGGCUUCCCACUCUACAGCCCCCGAUUUACUCACAGGGCACUUCCCAGCCCCCUGCUCGCUCCUUUUCCCACUCAGUUUCCAGGAAGGCCGAGCAGCACAGGGCCCAGCAUGGAUCCCAAAAGGACUCCAUCGAUGGCUUUACUUCUACAAUUAACAAAAUGAUUAUUCACUCCUCUGUCACCUUUCUCUUAACCAAGUAAUAACUCUCAUUUCUUACCCCACAGCAGCUCUGAUUCUCUAUCAGCCUUUGGUGAGGAACAUUGUCACAUGCCAACAGCACUUAUCCACUGCAGAUGUACACAGAAAAAAAAUGGGAAGAAACCUGUAAUUAACCUUCUUUACAAGUUCCCUGAGGGUACGUACUCACGACUCAACAUGUCAAACCUGGAGUGUUUCCAAAAUGUUGGCAUCUUUCAUAGCCCAAAAGCACUGUAUAAGACAAGGAGUAAUUUUCAACGUGCAGAUAUGAAGGCUUCAAACACACCUACAGCACUGGACAGAGAUGACAGCACCACAGGAUUCUGAUUUAGGGUUACUCUACCUUCAGUAACGCUCCUUCUGAGGGACAGACAAUUAAACCACUCCAGUGAUUUCAUUUGAGGACUGACUAUUAUUCUUUAAAAAUCCAAAGCUAGAGCGGAAUUCUUCAUUUUUACUGCUCUUUCCAACUGUAAGGAAACAAAUUAGAAGCAGUAGGCAUUUUCCAAAACUGAGCAAAUGCGCUUUGAAGGCCACG